UGAAAGGAUGUCUAUUCAUCAGAUUUCCAUGGAACCAUGCCAUCAGGGAGUAUCGUGAAGGCAAGUUGUCCUGGCUCCCCACCUCCGUCCUGGCCCCGCUGCUCUCUGCUUGGCUGUGUAUGCACAGCCCUGCGGGUGCCUGCCUCCAGGUGGGAACCACUCCUGGGCUCUCUGCAUAUGGCUUCAGCAUUGUUUCAACCCCCUUCUCCAUCCUACCUUGCUGUUACAGUCCCAAGAUUUGUUUCUCACUAGUGUUUUAGGUCCUGCAACUGCACUGUGUUUUUGAGAAGAGAGUCUGACAUGUAUACGCAGUACAUGCCAUUUGGCCUUUGCUUGAUACCUGUCUGCUCCUCUGCUGUUCUUUUUAAUUAAAAGGGAGAGAGGUAUGUAUGCGGGCUGGAGCAGGACUGGGGCCGUUAAGACUUGAGCCUGGUCCUGGCUCUGGCAUUCAGUUUCCCUCUGACCUCAGGCAAGUUCCCUAAACCUUGGCUUUUUUAUGGGCUUUAGUGAGUAGCCUGGCUGUUUCUUGGAAAACAUGUUAAAUAUGUUGAAAAUGCUAAAUAUUGAAAAUACUUUCUCAGCUGCAUCCUUUGGCAAAUUCCAGAUUCCUUCCUAUCCGUCUUUGGUUUUGCAAGGUCCAAGGUCAGAUAUCCUAGUUUCCCUCUGCCUAAGCCUCUUCAGUUAGCUGGCCCAGUUUUCAGGGAAAUAGGAAUAUGAGGCAUAGACAUUCAUUAAUUGUAGCUGUUAAAAUUCCCAAGCAAAUCCAAGUAGAAUGUGGUUAUGAAAGCCAAGGCCUGUUGCCAAAGAAAGAUGUGUGUGUGUGUGUGUGUGUGUGUGUGCAUGUGCACGUGCAUGUGCGUGCAUUGUGGGAUAUGUGCUUGUUAUAUAACUUCUGAUCCUUGAUCCCUGGAUGUUAUCCAGUGAGUAGCUGGUUGGAUUUGGGGCUUAACAUGGCUUGGGAGCUGUUUGGAGCCUUGGUGGGAACUAGAUGACUCUGUGUUGUCUCAAUCCUGCUGUGUAAAUAGUCUCUUUCCCUGAUCCAUCUGCCACAGCCCAGCUGCUUUUCAGCUCCAGUGAUCCUGCUUACUGAUUCUCCUAGAGACAGAGAUCUGAAUGGUUGGUGAGGAGCCCAUCCCAGGCUGGCAGGAAGGAUUCUGGGCACUCUGGGGACAUCUUUAAUGGACUGUACCGUAAGAUAUUUUCAGUGUGGGACUUC
rnacentral:lncRNA from 1 species